rnacentral:rRNA from 1 species
UAGGGAAUCUUCCACAAUGGGCGAAAGCCUGAUGGAGCAACGCCGCGUGUGUGAUGAAGGGUUUCGGCUCGUAAAACUCUGUUGUUAGAGAAGAACACGAGUGAGAGUAACUGUUCAUUCGAUGACGGUAUCUAACCAGCAAGUCACGGCUAACUACGUGCCAA